rnacentral:misc_RNA from 1 species
CAGGGACUGAAUCUUUAAUGACGUCAUACGCAUACAAUAAGCACCAGGGCCCGUAUUUAUCAAGGAACUUAAGUCAUAAAAAAAACUUAAGUCAGCUAAAAAUACUUAAGUUUUUACAAUUUUGACUUAAGUUUCAUAAAACAGCUUAAGUCAUAUUUAUCAACCUACUUAGACUUAAGUUUGGUCCGUUUUUGACUUAACUUUUUAGCCACCUGCCGACCAGACUUAAGUUUUUUUUAAUCAACUUAAGUCAUUCUAAAGAUAAAAUGGCUGCUGGGCGUUUGCCAAGAUAUUUUAAUGAAAGGAAGCCAGUUUUGAAUCUUUAUAACGAUUUUGAACUUGUGGAGAGGUAUAGGUUUGAUAGAAAUAGUAUAGAAUAUAUCACUGACCUUUUGGCUAAGGAUAUUUGUCCACUGACUCAUAGGAGUCAGUCAGUUGACGCCGUAACCAAAGUUCUUGUUACUUUACGAUACCUGGCUACGGGGAAAUUUCAAUUAUGUAGUGGCGAUGACCAUGGGGUGAGUCAGCCCACUGUAUCUAGAAUUGUGCAACAAACACUCGAUAGUUUGACAUCGAAUGAAAUAAUUAAAAGGUUCAUAAAGUUUCCAACUGAUCCAAACGAAAUUCGCCGUCACCAACAGCGCUUUUAUAAUGUUGCGAACUUUCCCGGUGUUGUUGGCAUCAUUGACGGAACCCACAUCCAAAUUCAGGCUCCAACAGUUAAUGAAAACGAAUUUGUAAAUAGGCAUCGAUAUCACAGUAUUAACACCCAAAUAGUGGUUGAUAGUGAUGACCGAAUAAUAGACGUUGUAGCGCGAUGGCCAGGGUCAACGCAUGAUUCGAGGAUACUGACAAACAGCGGGCUGCACCAACUAUUUGAACAUCAUCGUGUACCAGUGAGCUGUCAUUUGCUUGGCGACAGCGCCUAUCCUUGUAGAAGAUGGAUUCUAACACCAUUUCUUCGUCCACUUCCUGGUCCACAGACGAAUUACAAUCGAUCACAUAAGAAGAUCAGGAGCUGCGUCGAAAGAGUCAUUGGUCAGAUGAAGAGACGAUUUCAUGUGUUACAUGGGGAAAUAAGACUCCGACCUGAAAAGGCUUGCAAGGUUACAAUUGCCUGUGCUGUUCUGCACAAUAUAUGCAAGGAGAGAGAUUUGCCCCUGGCAGAUGAUGGACAUAUACAGGGAGAGGUACCAGGAGAUGAUGGAGUUGUGGUGAACCCUCUUGCUGCAGGGGCCCAAUACAGACAGCUGUUUGCCAUUAAUCAUUUUUCAUGAUCAUCAAACGUUGUAUGCAACUCCAACGGGGGAUGGCAGUGUAUUGUGUACCACUGAGAAUUAUAAGAUGGUGAAGAAGUCUGGAUGGGUUGCCUCUCAGAGGCUGGAAUGUCUGGCUGCUGUACAGGAACUAGACUUUCUUGCUGGUGUACACGUGGCUCUGGAUGAAGUUCAGCCAUCACAACAAUUU